AAAGGGUCCGUAGGCGGUUUGGUAAGUCAGUGGUGAAAGCCCAUCGCUUAACGAUGGAACGGCCAUUGAUACUGCGGGUCUUGAGUAAAGUAGAAGUGGCUGGAAUAAGUAGUGUAGCGGUGAAAUGCAUAGAUAUUACUUAGAACACCAAUUGCGAAGGCAGGUCACUAUGUUUUAACUGACGCUGAUGGACGAAAGCGUGGGGAGCGAACAGGAUUAGAUACCCCUGU
rnacentral:rRNA from 1 species